AGAAGCUUGCUUCUUUGCUGACGAGUGGCGGACGGGUGAGUAAUGUCUGGGAAACUGCCUGAUGGAGGGGGAUAACUACUGGAAACGGUAGCUAAUACCGCAUAACGUCGCAAGACCAAAGAGGGGGACCUUCGGGCCUCUUGCCAUCGGAUGUGCCCAGAUGGGAUUAGCUAGUAGGUGGGGUAACGGCUCACCUAGGCGACGAUCCCUAGCUGGUCUGAGAGGAUGACCAGCCACACUGGAACUGAGACACGGUCCAGACUCCUACGGGAGGCAGCAGUGGGGAAUAUUGCACAAUGGGCGCAAGCCUGAUGCAGCCAUGCCGCGUGUAUGAAGAAGGCCUUCGGGUUGUAAAGUACUUUCAGCGGGGAGGAAGGGAGUAAAGUUAAUACCUUUGCUCAUUGACGUUACCCGCAGAAGAAGCACCGGCUAACUCCGUGCCAGCAGCCGCGGUAAUACGGAGGGUGCAAGCGUUAAUCGGAAUUACUGGGCGUAAAUCGCACGCAGGCGGUUUGUUAAGUCAGAUGUGAAAUCCCCGGGCUCAACCUGGGAACUGCAUCUGAUACUGGCAAGCUUGAGUCUCGUAGAGGGGGGUAGAAUUCCAGGUGUAGCGGUGAAAUGCGUAGAGAUCUGGAGGAAUACCGGUGGC
rnacentral:rRNA from 1 species